rnacentral:rRNA from 1 species
AACCCGCCAUCGAAUGAGGCAAGACUACCCGCUGAACUUAAGCAUAUCACUAAGCGGAGGAGAAGAAACUAACCAGGAUGCCCCUAGUAAUGGCGAAUGAAGCGGGCUGAGCUCACGCUGCCAAUCUGGAGGCCUCGCGUAUGCAGCGCCCCCCGAAUUGUGGUCUAGAGAGGCGUUAUCGGCCGUGCCCGCCGCUCAAGUCCCUUGGAACAGGGUGUCGGAGAGGGUGAGAAUCCCGUACCGUGGCGGGUUGCGGCCUUACGAUGCGUUCUCGUCGAGUCGGGUUGCUUGGGAUUGCAGCUUGAAUUGGGUGGUAAAUUCCAUCUAAAGCUAAAUACUGGCGAGAGACCGAUAGCGAACAAGUACCGUGAGGGAAAGAUGCAAAGAACUUUGAAAAGAGAGUCAAAGAGUGCUUGAAAUCGGUAGGAGGAAACCCGGAUGGGCCCGGCUUCGGCGCGCCGACUCAGCCUGGGGUUCUCCCCAGGUGCACUUCUGCGCGCCGGGUCAGCCGCGCCUCGGCGCCGCGCCUCAACCCGGGAGCGGGGCUUUACGGCCAGCUCCCGUCCUGGCGCGGCCCGGGGCCCGGCUGACGGAACGGGCCCCUCCGACCCGUCUAGAAACACGGACCAAGGAGUCUGACACGUGUGCGAGUACCCGGGUGGCAAGCCCGCGUGCGGAAUGAAAGUGAAGGGCAUGCCCUGCCAACCGACCUUGACCUGCUGUGAGGGGUUUGAGUGGAGCACACCUGUCGGGACCCGAAAGAUGGUGAACUAUGCCUGGGUAGGGUGAAGCCAGAGGAAACUCUGGUGGAGGCUCGUAGCGAUACUGACGUGCAAAUCGUUCGUCGAAUCUGGGUAUAGGGGCGAAAGACUAAUCGAACCAUCUAGUAGCUGGUUCCCUCCGAAGUUUCCCUCAGGAUAGCUUGAACGCAACGGUUUUGUCAGGUAAAGCGAAUGAUUAGAGGCCUGUGGGCUGAAACAGCUUGCACCUAUUCUCAAACUUUAAAUGGGCAAGAGGCCCGGGAUGCUUGAGUGAUCCCGGGCGGCGAACGGCGCGUUCAAAGUGGGCCAUUUUUGGUAAGCAGAACUGGCGAUGCGGGAUGAACCGAACGCCGCGCUAAGGUACCCAAGUGUCCGCUCAUCAGAUACCACAAAAGGCGUUGGUACCUCCAGACAGCAGGACGGUGGCCAUGGAAGUCGGAACCCGCUAAGGAGUGUGUAACAACUCACCUGCCGAAGGUACUAGCCCUGAAAAUGGAUGGCGCUCAAGCGGACCACCGAUGCGCGGCCGCCGGCGCGAGCGCGAGGCGCCGGCGAGUAGGAGGGCGCGGGGCUCGCGGCGCAGCCUUGGGCGCGAGCCUGGGUGAAGCGGGCCCCGGUGCAGAUCUUGGUGGUAGUAGCAAAUAUUCAAAUGAGAACUUUGAAGACUGAAGUGGAGAAAGGUUCCGUGUGAACAGCAGUUGGACACGGGUGAGCCGACCCUAAGAGACAGGAAAACUCCGCCGAACGCGGCUGGUUCUGUCAGCCCGUCCGUCGAAAGGGAAUCGGGUUAAUAUUCCCGAGCCAGCGCGUGGAUGGUGGGCGGCGACGCGAACGAACCCGGAGACGCCGGCGGGAGCCCUGGGAAGAGUUCUCUUUUCUUCUUAACUGCCUCCUGCCCUGGAAUCGGUUUAGCCGGAGCGAGGGCUACACGGCAGGCAAAGCACCCUAAGUCUUGGGGUGUCCGGCGCGCUCCCGACGGCCCGUGAAAAUCCGGGGGAGCGGUUCGUUCUCACGCCUGGUCGUACUCAUAACCGCAUCAGGUCUCCAAGGUGAACAGCCUCUAGUCGAUAGAGCAAUGUAGGUAAGGGAAGUCGGCAAAAUGGUUCCGCAACCUCGGGAGAAGGAAUGGCUCUGAAGGCUGGGCGCAGGGGUCCUAGGCUCGAGGCCGGCUGGCUGCGCGGGGACUACGGCCUCACGGCUGCGGAUCCCGCGCGGCCGUCCGGCGGACGGCCUAGGAGCGCUCCGGCUCUCCCUGCGCGACGAACAGCCGCUUCAGAACUGGCGCGGACAAGGGGAAUCCGACUGUUUAAUUAAAACAAAGCAUUGCGAUGGCCCGCGAGGGUGCUGACGCAAUGUGAUUUCUGCCCAGUGCUCUGAAUGUCAAAGUGAAGAAAUUCAACCAAGCGCGGGUAAACGGCGGGAGUAACUAUGACUCUCUUAAGGUAGCCAAAUGCCUCGUCAUCCAAUUAGUGACGCGCAUGAAUGGAUUCGUGAGAUUCCCACUGUCCCUAUCUACUGUCUAGCGAAACCACAGCCAAGGGAACGGGCUUGGAAGAAUCAGCGGGGAAAGAAGACCCUGUUGAGCUUGACUCUAGUCUGUUACUGUGGAACGACUUGAUGGGUGUAGAAUAUGCGGGAGGGGCAACCCGACAGUGAAAUACCGCAACCGUCAACGUUGUUUUACUUACUCGGUGGCGCGGAGGGAGGCUCGCCUCACUUCUGGAUCCAAGCCGCUUCGUGCGCGCGAUCCGCGUCGGGGACACUAACAGGUGGGGAGUUUGGCUGGGGCGGCACGUCUGUUAAAAAAUAACGCAGGCGCCCGAUUUUGAGCUCAAUGAGAACAGAAAUCUCAUGUGGACCGAAAGGGGAAAAGCUCGGUUGAUUUUGAUUUUCAGUACGAAUACAAACCGCGAAAGCGUGGCCUAUCGAUCCUCUCGUCUUUGGGAAUUUCAAGCUAGAGGUGUCAGAAAAGUUACCACAGGGAUAACUGGCUUGUGGCUGCCAAGCGUUCAUAGCGACGUAGCUUUUUGAUCCUUCGAUGUCGGCUCUUCCUAUCACUGCCUCGCAGCGGGGGCCAAAUGCAGGAUUGUUCACCCACCAACAGGGAACGUGAGCUGGGUUUAGACCGUCGUGAGACAGGUUAGUUUUACCCUACUGCUGUCUGUUUUUCUACGGUAAUUUGGUUCAGUACGAGAGGAACCACCAAUUCGCAUCAUCGGUAUAGCCGCCGCCGGAAACGGCGAUGCGGCGAAGCUGCCAUGCGCCGGAUUAUAACUGAACGCCUCUAAGUUAGAAUCCAUGCCGGAAGGAAAGCCACCUACCGGCCCGGGGACGCCACGAGCAACGGUAGCACUGCCUGAGCCGCGAGCGACCACAAUUCACGGACCCGGGCCGACGAAUCCCUUGCAGACGACUUG